AUUUUCAGCCAUCUGGACUCAGCUGAGUCACUACAGAGGAAACAAUGAGCUCAACACAGAAGGGAGAGGAAUCGCUUUCCUGACCUCAACAGAGAGAACAGUCCGUUGUUGGGAUGGCUGAGGUCCUUCACGAUCUUCCUGGCCUUGGUCCAGCACCGCCUGCUGUAGAUUGAGUGCAGGUCAGGGAGCUCGGAGCGGAUGGUGCGCUCAGCUGAUCGCACAACCCUCUGUAGAGCUCGUCUGUCCUGCAUGGUGCUGUUCCCGAAUCAGGUUGAGAUGUUUCCCGUCAGGAUGCUCUCUAUGGUGCACGAGUAAAAGUUCCUGAGCACCUUGGAGGGCAGUCAGAAGUCUCUCAAGAGUCUGAGGUGGUAGAGACGCUGUCGGGCCUUUUUCAACACGGUGUUGAUGUGACAGGACCAUGACAGGUCCUGCGUGAUGUGAACUCUGAGGUAUUUGAAGCUGUCCACUCUCUCCACUGGGCACUCGGUGAUGACGGGGGUCCGGUAGUUCCUCUCCUGCUUAGUGUUGAAGUCCACUAUCAACUCCUUUGUUUUACUGACGUUUAUAAGGAAAGUUGUUCCUCUGGCACCAGUUCUCCAGAUUCCUAACCUCCUUCAGGUAGGCCGUCUUGUUGUUGUCAGAGAUCAGAGGACUGUGUUGAAAAGCUUUGAGUAAUGAACCUUUUUCAAUACAAGCUUCAGUGUUUCAGAAAGAUUCAUUUGGCCAUCACUGAUAUAAAUAAUAUUAUAGAAAUUAUCAGAGGAGGCAAAAGUACAUUUACUCUAUACUUAAGUAGAAGUACAGAGACUCCGUUGAUGACCCUGCAAUAGUCGGCCUCAUCACUGAUGGGGAUGACAAGGAGUACAGAGAAAUGACCAAAGCUUUUGUUGACUGGUGCCAGCAGAACUACCUCCAGAUCAACACUAGUAAAACCAAGGAGCUGGUGGUAAACUUCUGCAGGCACAAACAUCCUCCACUGCAACCACUAAACAUUCAAGGUAUGGAUAUUGAGACUGUGGACAGCUACAGUUACCUCAGAGGAGGCAAAAGUACAGCUAUUCUGUACUUAAGUAGAAUACAGAUACUAGUGUCAAGAAAUAUUCUAUUAAAAGUGGAAAUUCUCAUUCAACUUCUUUACUCAAGUAAAAAUUAAAAAAGUACCGUCUCUGAAAUGUACUUGAAGUAAAAAAGUACCUCCUUGAAGAACAUUUUCAAUGAAAUAACAUUUUCUAAUUUUAUCCAAAGCUAACUGAACCUUGUGCUAUAUUAAUGUAAUAAUAAAAUAAGAUGAGUAGAUUAAAUACAAACUAUUUAUUUCUAAUAAAGGUACUCUGUUUGAAUCAGUUAAGUAGAAAAGGAAGGAAAAUAAAACAUGUGUAUUUUCUGUUGCCUACACUGUAGAGGGUGACUUUGGCUCUAAACAGGAACACGAGCAGGGAAGAGGUUAAAGUGGGAUUGAGCAGGUGGGAACCCUAAAAUCAGCUGUAGUGGCUCAGCGUGGGGAAAAGAAUCACAGCUCACAAUAAUUUCUAUUGAGAGCUCCAGUAGAUUUUCUUAAAGUACAGGCUGUGAUCAGCUGACCUGCUGCUCUCUGUGGAUGUACACAACUGAAUUCAACCAGAUGUCAGCAGAUGUUUCAUGAGCUGUCCUGGCUGAUUUCCAUCCUCUACACUGACAGUACACUGUCUUUAUAUUAGACACUAUACUGUUGGUAUGAAGGUGGAACUCAGUGAAUGAAUGUCAGCAUCAUGAGCUUCAGUUUAAAUGAAUCUCUGCUACACUUGAUGUAAUCUAACUCUGACAUGAGCACCACAGUCACUGUGCACCAGCCACACACUGUUCUUUACUUUAAAUCCAUCACAGUUCAGCAAACUAACCUGUUUAUCCUGCACUAACCUGCAGAGGAUCUUCAUGCAGCCUUUAAAUAACACAGUUAGUCUGCCUCAGAUUGUUUUGCAGCAAGUUUCACAACCUGAAAAAACAUAAUGUUACAUGUACAGACCCAAUAUCUGAUUUCAACACAUGAGGACUUGCAUGUAAGCUUUAAUCUGCAGUUGAUUAAAUCCCACUGAGCAGUCCUUCCCUUUAAAUCUAACCUCUCUUCUUCCUCUCCUGUCCUGUGUGUCUCAUCUUUC